rnacentral:lncRNA from 1 species
AAAAUACCGAAGCGGAAAGAAAUAUCGGGAAUCUACUUGACUCUCCUCUACGCACACCUAUAAAUACCCAUCGGCUCCUCCUCCUAGAACCAGGGUCGUUGAAACUUGAAAGGAAAUUGAGAAGAGUUAUAACAAAAUUUGCUGAAAAUGUCACUGAUUCCAAGAAUGUUCGGCAAUCGACGAAGCAGCGUCUUAGAUCCAUUCUCAAUUGACGUGUGGGAUCCCUUCAGGGAAUUGGGCUUUCCAGGCUCCAAUUCACGGGAGACCUCUGCAUUCGCUAACACACGAGUCGAUUGGAAGGAAACUCCUGACGCACAUGUGUUUAAGGCCGAUCUUCCUGGUCUUAAGAAGGAGGAAGUGAAAGUGGAGAUUGAAGACGAUAGGGUUCUUCAGAUUAGCGGAGAGAGGAAUGUGGAGAAAGAAGAUAAGAAUGAUACUUGGCACCGUGUGGAACGCAGCAGCGGCAAAUUCAUGAGAAGAUUCAGGCUCCCGGAGAAUGCGAAAAUGGAUCAAGUUAAAGCGGCGAUGGAGAAUGGAGUGCUUACUGUCACUGUUCCAAAAGUAGAGGUGAAGAAGCCUGAUGUCAAAUCCAUUGAUAUUGCUGGUUAGAUAGGCGCUUUAGCUAACUGAAAUAUGACAGUACGCUAUGUUAUUUGAGCAAGUAUAUGUGAAAUCGAAUAGAAGUUGCUCUGUUUUUGUAUCUUGUCUAUAAUCGAGUCUGUUUUUCGCUUAAAGGCUUGUUUGUUGUAAUUUUGUUGAAAUUCUAUGUGGAAAAGGCAAUAGUGUUGUUAUAGAAUCAAAGUAUUGUUUAUACUUCAAUUCUGUUCUAUCUCCCAUAUUUUACUUCUUCUGUCUUCUUAGCUCCUUUUGGGUAUUGGUUUACGUAGUGAAGUAGAGAGCUUUAAGUUUUUUACUCUUGCACUUUAAUUUCGUACAAAGUGUCAAAGUGAAGAUAUAUUGACCUAUUAACUAAUCCACAAUUAAAACCAUUACGAUCGAUUUACCAAAUCAUUAUCAUUUUAGUGGGAGAAUUUGAAAAAAGAAUUACAUCAAGCAUACAUGAAGAUAAACUCCGUCGGUGUACUUAGAUUAGUUGAAAAAUUAAACUAGUUAAAUUAGCUGAACAUCAUUGACGUGAAUGAAAAAUUUUCUCGUUUGAGGGGAAUGCAAAACCUCUUGUAAUAGAUCUUUACUUCCUCAAUGGACUUUUCAGCUUGCUUGAAUUUAGAUUAAUUAAAUCGUGAAUUUAGAUUAGGAUUGCAAUACGGGAGUUUUGAAAAAGGAUCAAGGCUUAAGUACACCAUGUUGGGUCUAAUUGCGGGCGUAAGUGUACACAAUUAACAUGUAAUAAAGUGAUAAGAAAGUAUUGUUCCUGUGAGAAUUUAUGAUUAACCAGUGAUUUUUGUAAAUAAAUUAUGAAUUAAUAAUCAAGUAAGGAAAUAAAAUCGUAAUAGAGCAAACAAAUAUUUAGAAAGAAUACAUGAGAUGGGUAUAUUCCAGGUAUGGGCGUUCAUAAAAACCUGAAAAAUCGAACCAAAUCGAAAAUCAAACCAAAUCGGCCAAAAAAAUCGAUACUUUUUUGUUUGGUUUGAUUUUGGUUUUAAAUUUUAAAAAUCGAUCAAAUUUAGUUUGGUUUUGAUUAUUAUCAGAAAAAAAUCGAACCAAACUGACUAUAGGAGUAACUAUUUUAAAUUUAUUAUUACACCUAUAUAUAUGUAUAUUGUAAUACAAGGUUUCAAAAUAUUUAUGGUAAAUGUUAAUAGUUUGCACUUUUAAUAUAGUUCUUUACCUUUAUAUUUUAGUUUAAUUGGUAGUUUUCUUUUGUUUGGUGCAAGAAUUUAUUCUGUGUUAAAAAUAACAUAUUUUUAAUUGAAUCCUUAAAUUAUUCAUCAUUAUUUGAUUCAAUUAUCAUCAAUAUAUUUUGGUAAAUAAUAGAUUUCUCAAAGGACAAUUGAUUUGAUACUGUUACAAUGAAAAAGUAGUCUCCUGAGUAUGUGUUUGAUAGUAUAUGUCUUAUAUUUAAGAAAAAACAGACAAAUAACCAAAAAAAUCAAAAAACCGACAUAAACCGAAUCGAGAAAAAACUAACCUAAUUGGUUUGGUUUGAUUCUAUUAUUUGAAAAAUCGACUUACUUGGUUGGUUUCUUUUUAGGGAGAAACCGAUCCAAACCGAACCAUGAACACCCCUAAUUCCAGGGUUAUGGGAUUCAUCUAUUGUGUUUUCCGGAUUGAUAUAAUCACCUGACUUAUCUAAUCUACUUAUUAGCAGGGUUUAUUAUGCUCGCGAAGUUAUUUUGACGCUUCGCUCGCCUAUUCGAGCCAACCUAAGACUAUAUGUCUAUAGAAUCAAACUUGACAAGACGCAUGUAUAUUUCCUACAAAUAUAACCAACUAAGGCAACUAGAAUAUGUCUAUCCUAAUCGCGAAUCUAUUCUCCGAUGACCAAAUUCAAGAACUUACUCUAUUCAGUCCUAUAUGCAAUCUAUAGUUUCACGUUCGAGUUCAAAUAUAAAUUCGUAGAUAGUACUCUAUUAUUAGCUACGCCUUAGAAUAAUUAAGUGCAAGAUUGAAUGAACAAAUUAAUAUAAUAAAAUCGAGCAAUAUUAUCAACCGUCAAACUACAAUAGUCUAUAACAACUCAUAACCUAGAUAAUGAAGUUCUUAGCCACUCAUGUUCAUAACAAUACUCAAAAUAAUAUUUUAAACAUAAAAGCUAUGAAUACUAGAUGGAGAAUGGAAGAAUAAAUGAAUUUCAUGCUCCUGAAUAUUUCGUACUUAUAUUUUUCUCUCAAAGUAAUGUUUCCCCCUCCAAAAUAGAUUUAGACUUGCUUUUAUAUGAGUUGGGGGCAUUUUAGCUCGAAAUAACCAAGUCUCAAGUGAAAUAUGACAAGUUCAUGUCCCCAGUUUCGCUGGAAAUUUUGAAGGUCUGAUUUCUGUGCCACAGGCAGCACCCCACGCUAGCGCGGGCGCUACUUUGUGGCCUUUUUUCAAGCUCUUUCUUGAAGCUUGUUUCUUGUACUAAUUUCUAUGUUCUAGGUGCUUUUGAACUUGCUAUCAUACUUGUAUGCUUCUCCGGAGACUCUGAAAGAGGUCUCUGAGCUUGAGCUUGCCUUUUCAUCUCUACUUAAAAACCUUAGGAUUUGGGAGAUUUCUUUGGUAAAUUUGGUUUUAUGUUUGGACAAGGAUUCUACUUUGAAACCUUGAACUCUCAAACUCACUCCGAACUUAUGAAUUGAAUUUUGAACUUUUUCUGCAUUUGUGAUUUUGAACCUUCUUGUAGAAAAUAAGGUAAGAAUCAUAGAUUAGCAGCAAUUAAAGAAUUAUGUACCAAUUAAGAUCAAUCAGCAUAUAAUUUUUUCUUAAUUAAGGAGUCCAAAUUCAAACGGUAAUGGGUAGAAGUUAUUUAAGAAAGGAAACCAAGUAAAUAUCUUUUGUAAAGAAGACCAAUAAGGGGUAAAAUACAUAGAAAGGAAAAAAAUAGCGGUACUAGGUUUGUGAAAACAAGGAAAGAAAAUGAGUAAAAUAGUUAGUAAAGAGUCAAAUCAGGAGUAAAGGAAAGCAUUAAUUUAGAGAAAAAUCGAUUGUAGCAACAUUAAAAGGGAUUCAGAAUCAAUUAAUAGUUGGCAAGACUUUUGAAAGGGAAGUUGUCGUAUAUAAACACAUAGACAUGUCAAGAAUUACUGAAUUUGAAAUAUAUUAGCUACUAAUUUUCAUAUUUGACACUCAAAUGUUAAAAGCAAAAAAGGUUAGUUUUAACAAAUAGUUGGCACGUAUCAUCAUUAAUACUUAUUAAAUUAUUAUUUGAAAAUUUAAAAUUGUAUUAUUUCAUACAUACAAGAUAAUACUUAUUAAAAGUUAUAAACUGUAUUAUUUGUGAAUCAUUCAAGAUAACUCUUAUUCCUUAAUCUGAUAUAUCUUAAAAUUUCUUUUUAUGUACUUCACCAUAUUUAUAUAACAUGUUUCAUAUCAAGCUAAGAACUUUUUUGACUUAGAAUAGUAGUUUGUUCAAAAAUUAUUAUGCCUAGACGGUAUAAUUUAUUUCUUCUUAGACUUACAGAUGACGACUAAUGAAUUUGUAACCAGAGAAGCCGACCCAAUUUCGUAGCGCAUUUGCAUGUUUUUGUAUGGGCUUAUCGAGAUUGGUCCAGAAAGUUCUCGACAUCUACUUUAUCUACGUUCCAGAAUAUAUAGAAGUAUCGAGAAAGCACUAAACACUCUCUAUGACAGUAUAAAUACCUACAGGGGUCCUCUUCCUUGAACCAAGGAACUUGAAAACUGAAAUCACAUUCAAAAAAUUCUCAAAAAACUCACGGAAAAUGUCACUGAUUCCAAGAGUGUUCGGCGAUCGACGAAGCAGCGUCUUCGAUCCAUUCUCAAUUGACGUGUGGGAUCCCUUCAGGGAAUUGGGCUUUCCAGGCUCCAAUUCACGGGAGACCUCUGCAUUCGCUAACACACGAGUCGAUUGGAAGGAAACUCCUGAAGCACAUGUGUUUAAGGCCGAUCUUCCUGGUCUUAAGAAGGAGGAAGUGAAAGUGGAGAUUGAAGACGAUAGGGUUCUUCAGAUUAGCGGAGAGAGGAAUGUGGAGAAAGAAGAU